CAUUUUUUUCCUGCAGUUAAUGUGCUUGUGGAGUUGUUCUUUUGAAGGGAUGCCGGUUCUCCUUCUCAAUGCAGGAAUGAUCAUUUAUAGGUAAGGAGUAAAAAUGUGAAGACUUCUGCAAAUAUGAGGCUGGGUCAAACUGGUACCCCACCACCACCAUUCUCCCUACCUACCCAUCCAGAUCUAGGAACUUUAGAGGUUCUCUUUUCCUGCUGGAAUAUUGGAAACACAUCUACAAAGUACUACAUGAGUAGAAUGUUGGAAUUCUUAAAGAAAAGCGCUCACCACCUGAAAGGGAUAUAAGGUGACCAAGGGUCAAACUUCAGUGACCUUCAGAGGCCACCCUGCCAAUGAAGGAACCCGCUGUGUUACUGCAACCUAAUGCCAGUAUGGACUCAUGCAGCAAAAUGACAAAAAUCACUGAAGGGGAAACGGGCAUCUCAGCAAGUGAAAGAUAUAUUGGCUGGUCCUCUAUUAUCACCCCUCAUUUGUUUUUUGCUUAGUAGAAGAUUUCCUGAUUUGAAGAGACAGGUUUAUUUUGGAGACUGUGAAACACAAAUGCACAAAACAAAAGGCAUAUCUGGCAGCCUAAGAAGCAGUUUGCAGUUAAAAACACAAUGAUAUAGACCAAAUUUAUCUCUCAUUCCCUGAACCAGCAGCAGAAGCAGCCAGUGCACAUGUCUGGCAAGAUCUAAGGGAAGAAAAUCUGAACCAGAAAGAAUGUGGCUGGCUUGAGGUCUGACGCAAAAGAAAAAACUUAUAAAUUUCCUCAUAGAACUCAUAUUAAAAUGGGAGUUUGGAUUCAAGCAACUAAACACUGAAAUUAAAAUUCUUAUAUGGGGUAUUUGUAGUUUCCAAUUAUAUCUUUAUGAUAUUU